GUGGCACUUGCGCUGAUUGAGUUUGACACCUUUGUCCUAGGUGACUGUAAAGAGAUUCGAAAUGGAAACCAAUUGGAUCAGUUGAGAAAGAAACGACCAUAUCCAGUGUUGUUUCGCCUUGAGAAAUGCAUGGUGUCCCUGCCCACAAGCAGCGGACUGCGUUUUAAGAAGGGUCGCAGCAGUCAUCCUGAUUUGCUUGGCGCUGGCAUUUGCAGCUUCUCACAGGUCCAAAAGGCCAAACUCGGAGAAGAUGAAGACGUUGGCCUACACUGAGCUGACAGAGGAGCUGGGUCGUGUGAGAGGUCUGGCUGUCAGACAGAGAUCCCGAGGAAGGCAUCCCACAAGCAGAUGGGACGGAGGAGAUACGAACACACGGCAGGCCGGUGCUAUUUUCCAGCCAGUCAGCAGGAUGUGCAUCAUAGUUCAUUGUGGGGGACGAACCAAGGCACCGACCGAGCUGCUGCUGUUUUUACAGGAAGGGGUAAAAAUAACCAAUCGCCAAAGGUUCCACCAUCCGGGACUUAGGGCCGGGGCUGGGGCCAGGGGUUGGGCCGGCAUAACAUGACAUGAAAAACUCCUGUUAUGUUUGUUUGUUUGUUUUUAGAUUAAAAGAAAACAGCCAUUUGCACACAACAAGCAAGGAUGCUCUUUGAGGUUGUGUUCCCGGAUCUUUUGUCAAAGUGCUGUAUUUAUUUUGUUAUUAACAGGUUACAAUCACCUGAAAUCAAAUGUUCAACCACUAAAUGUAUGCCAUGCCUAUGCGGUAUUUGUCAUAACAGUAUUCUUGUGUUUUAUUGUUGGUUGACAACAUAGUAGUAGUACCAAAGA